UACGGGGGGGGUAAGCGUUGUUCGGGAUUACUGGGCGUAAAGGGCUCGUAGGCGGCCAACUAAGUCAGACGUGAAAUCCCUCAGCUUAACUGGGGAACUGCGUCUGAUACUGGAUGGCUUGGAUUCGGGAGAGGAAUGCGGAAUUCCAGGUGUAGCGGUGAAAUGCGUAGAUAUCUGGAGGAACACCGGUGGCGAAGGCGGCAUUCUGGACCGACAUUGACGCUGAGGAGCGAAAGCCAGGGGAGCAAACGGG
rnacentral:rRNA from 1 species